UACGUAGGGGGCUAGCGUUGUCCGGAUUUAUUGGGCGUAAAGAGCGUGUAGGCGGCCAGGUAGGUCUGCUGUGAAAACUCGAGGCUCAACCUCGAGACGGCGGCGGAAACCAUCUGGCUAGAGUCCGGAAGAGGAGAGUGGAAUUCCUGGUGUAGCGGUGAAAUGCGCAGAUAACAGGAAGAACACCCGUGGCGAAGGCGGCUCUCUGGGAAGGUACUGACGCUGAGACGCGAAAGCGUGGGGAGCGAACAGG
rnacentral:rRNA from 1 species